rnacentral:rRNA from 1 species
UACGUAGGGUGCGAGCGUUGUCCGGAAUUAUUGGGCGUAAAGGGCGCGUAGGCGGCUUGGCAAGUGGAUGGUGAAAUCCCUCGGCUUAACCGAGGAACUGCCGUCCAAACUGCUUCGCUUGAGACCGGGAGAGGUGAGUGGAAUUCCCAGUGUAGCGGUGAAAUGCGUAGAUAUUGGGAGGAACACCAGUGGCGAAGGCGGCUCACUGGACCGGUACUGACGCUGAGGCGCGAAAGCGUGGGGAGCAAACGGG